GGAGAUUCAACUAGACUAAAUACAACUUUUACAGACACGUCUGCGACGAUUUAGUUGAUAUAUUAUUAUAAAUACUACCUUUUCCACAUCGAAAUGAUGAUAAGUUGCGUUGUACCUGGAUGUUCAACCAAAACCGGGAAAAGGACAAGCAGUAAGUUUUCAUCAUUUGCUGCGGUGUAAACAAUGGCUGCGGGCUAUCAACCACGCAAAAUGUCGAGAAGACAACGAUGCGGUAAAAUAAAAAAAACAGAGGGUUUGCAGUCUCCAUUUCAAGCAUGAAGACAUCGAACCCAAUGUACUCGGAAUGAAGCAAAACACGCGAAAGGACACUGGAAUUCCGUUCAUGUUUACCUUCACAGACACGACGAACAGCCGGAGCCAUCUGGUAUCAAACGCAUUCGUCUACGUUUGAGGUUUCCAGAAGAAGAUGCAGAAGAAGGGGGGAAAAAGAACAAUGAAAUCCUCCUUGCAUGGACCAGGUCUGUGCUAAAUCAUAUGUGGUUUUCCUGUGCAACCAGUAAGGGGGACGUUGAGGUACUGAAAUUCCCGUGGAAAUCCAUUCUACACCAUGUGUGUAAUGAGCAUGAGUGUACAGAUGAUGACGGAGGACAUCCUGUGGCAUUUCAAGACCUGUCAUCGCUGGUCCUUGAUAAAAGGCUUCUGAGAGACAUGGAAAAGAUGGCCCUGUUCAAACAUACUGGAGAAGCACGGUUCAACCAAAUGUUCUGCAAGAGAUCCAAGCAGUGGGUCUUGAAGAAAAGCUUCAUACCACACAGUUUGUAGACGAACUCAUCCAGAAGGCCAUUGACAAAAGACUCAAUCCAAACAUUGUGUUCAACGUGCCAACCUCCCCACUGCCACCCAACAUUGCACCAGUGCCUAAACCAUCAAAGGAGGCUGCCACGACUUCUUUCAAAAGUCACUUCUGAGACUGACACUUUCUAAUAAUAAUAAUAACAAUCACCUCUUCCCUGAGUUUUAUUGCUGUGUCUAAUCAGAUUCUGCCACCACUCUUAUAUUUAUAUUAUUAUAUACUGUGUGUAUAUAAACACAUAAUUAUUAUUAUGUUAUGUUUUGCUUUGUUUUUAUUUUGUGCAGGACAUUUUUAGAUGUAAAUUAUGUCC